GAGAGUUUGAUCCUGGCUCAGGAUGAACGCUAGCGGCAGGCUUAACACAUGCAAGUCGAGGGGCAGCAUGUCCAGCAAUGGAUGAUGGCGACCGGCGGAAGGGUGCGUAACGCGUGAGCAACAUGCCCUAUACAGGGAGAUACACCAGGGAAACUUGGUCUAAUAUCCCAUAGCAUUCAUUGAAGGCAUCUUUAAUGAAUUAAAGCUUCGGUGGUAUAGGAUUGGCUCGCGUGACAUUAGCCAGAUGGUGAGGUAACGGCUCACCAUAGCAAUGAUAUCUAGGGGUUUUGAGAGGAAGGCCCCCCACACUGGGACUGAGACACGGCCCAGACUCCUACGGGAGGCAGCAGUGAGGAAUAUUGGACAAUGGAUGGAAAUCUGAUCCAGCCAUGCCGCGUGCAGGAAGACGGCCUUAUGGGUUGUAAACUGCUUUUAUACGGGAGCAAUAAGGGUUACGAGUAAUCCGAUGAGAGUACUGUAUGAAUAAGGAUCGGCUAACUCCGUGCCAGCAGCCGCGGUAAUACGGAGGAUCCGAGCGUUAUCCGGAAUUAUUGGGUUUAAAGGGUGCGUAGGCGGCCAUUUAAGUCAGCGGUGAAAUUUUGCAGCUUAACUGUAACAGUGCCGUUGAUACUGUUUGGCUAGGAUUUGGUUGUAGUGUGCGGAAUGUGUAGUGUAGCGGUGAAAUGCUUAGAUAUCACACAGAACACCGAUUGCGAAGGCAGCACACUAAGUCAUUAUUGACGCUGAGGCACGAAAGUGUGGGGAUCAAACAGGAUUAGAUACCCUGGUAGUCCACACUGUAAACGAUGAUAACUCGCUGUCGGCGAUACACAGUCGGUGGCCAAGCGAAAGCAUUAAGUUAUCCACCUGGGGAGUACGACCGCAAGGUUGAAACUCAAAGGAAUUGACGGGGGCCCGCACAAGCGGAGGAACAUGUGGUUUAAUUCGAUGAUACGCGAGGAACCUUACCCGGGCUCGAACGGUGCAUGAAUAUACGAGAGAUUGUAUAGUCCUUCGGGACAUGUAUCGAGGUGCUGCAUGGUUGUCGUCAGCUCGUGCCGUGAGGUGUCGGCUUAAGUGCCAUAACGAGCGCAACCCUUGUCAUUAGUAGCCAGCAAGUAAAGUUGGGCACUCUAGAGAGACUGCCAGGGAUAACCUGGAGGAAGGUGGGGAUGACGUCAAAUCAUCAUGCCCCUUAUGAUUUGGGCUACACACGUGCUACAAUGGCGUAAACAAAGAGAAGCAGCCCUGUGAAGGUGAGCAAAUCUCAAAAAUAACGUCUCAGUUCGGAUUGUAGUCUGCAACUCGACUACAUGAAGCUGGAAUCGCUAGUAAUCGCGAAUCAGAAUGUCGCGGUGAAUACGUUCCCGGGUCUUGUACACACCGCCCGUCACACCAUGGGAGUCAGUAACGCCCGAAGUCAGUGACUCAACCGCAAGGAGAGAGCUGCCGAAGGUGGGACCGAUAACUGGGGUGAAGUCGUAACAAGGUAGCCGUAG
rnacentral:rRNA from 1 species